AAUGAACGUUGGCGGCGUGGAUUAGGCAUGCAAGUCGUGCGGAAAGGCUCCUUCGGGAGUACUCGAGCGGCGAAAGGGAGAGUAACGCGUGGAUAUCCACCCCCUGGUCUGGAUAGCGGCGGGAAACUGCCGGUAAUACCAGAUAAUGUCUGCGGACCAAAGGUGUGAUUCCGCCGGGGGAUGAGUCCGCGUCCCAUUAGCUAGUUGGUGGGGUAAUGGCCUACCAAGGCGAAGAUGGGUACCGGGUGUGAGAGCAUGGCCCGGCUCACUGGGACUGAGACACUGCCCAGACACCUGCGGGUGGCUGCAGUCGAGAAUCUUCGGCAAUGGGCGCAAGCCUGACCGAGCGACGCCGCGUGCGGGAUGAAGGCCUUCGGGUUGUAAACCGCUGUCAGAGGGGAGGAAAUGCGUGGUAGUUAUCUUCCAUGUUUGACCUACCCUCAGAGGAAGUACGGGCUAAGUUCGUGCCAGCCGCCGCCGUAACAC
rnacentral:rRNA from 1 species